rnacentral:rRNA from 1 species
UGGGGAAUUUUCCGCAAUGGGCGAAAGCCUGACGGAGCAAUACCGCGUGAGGGAGGAAGGCUUUUGGGUUGUAAACCUCUUUUCUUAGGGAAGAAGUUCUGACGGUACCUAAGGAAUCAGCAUCGGCUAACUCCGUGCCAGCAGCCGCGGUAAUACGGAGGGGGUUAGCGUUGUUCGGAAUUACUGGGCGUAAAGCGCGCGUAGGCGGACUGUUAAGUCGGGGGUGAAAUCCCGGGGCUCAACCCCGGAACUGCCUCCGAUACUGGCAGUCUAGAGUUCGAGAGAGGUGAGUGGAAUUCCGAGUGUAGAGGUGAAAUUCGUAGAUAUUCGGAGGAACACCAGUGGCGAAGGCGGCUCACUGGCUCGAUACUGACGCUGAGGUGCGAAAGUGUGGGGAGCAAACAGGAUUAGAUACCCGCGUAGUCC